UGAAAUUGAAUGUCUCAUGACCUAUGAGGCUCAUCACUCAUCAUGCUGUGCUCUAUCAACUUAUGCAAAACUUCCAGAUAGUUACAUAUUUCUGCUACAAUGGGACAUUUAAAGCUUCCAUGUGGCAGUUGUAACAAAUUUUUUCUCAUAGCUGGAAUAGUGCUCGAUUCCAUAACACAAUGUCAUGGGUUAUCAAUGAGAGCCAAUAAGAAGGCCACUCUUUGCCAUUCUCAUUCUCCUAACUACCAUCAUAAAUGGGCAAGUGAGAAACACAGCUAAGCGAAGGCUUUGUUUUCUUCUUUGCUACUUGUUACCUCUAUAUAUACCAUUUCAUGGUGGCCUUUGAAAUUGUUUUGCAAGAACUUCAUAUAAGAAAGAAGCAAUGGAAGGUGCAGCACCAAAUCAAAAGAUGUUAUGCUGUGAUCACGUCCGAAAACGCAAGGAGGAGAAAGGCUUCUUCUCUGCUUGUUUGUUUGCUUUGUUCUGCUGCUGUUGCUGCUAUGGUGGCUGCUGCUGUGGCCCUUAGAUUUCUUGCCAUUGAGUGGGAUCAGUAGAAAUAAAUCCCGGAUGAUAGUUAUGAUGCGAUUGUAAACAAAUUCAUUCGAGUUAAUAAAAUCAUUAUUGUUGUUACUUGCA